ACUCAAUUACCCAAGUCUGGCCAUAAGGGGCCUGGUGAUACCAGGUAGGCGGAGCAAUCCGCGCACAGGUUCAAAUCCUGUAUUGAGUCCC
rnacentral:tRNA from 1 species